GUUUUCUCAGAACAAUAUGUUUUGCUCUUGGGCCAAAGUGAGUAAAAUUUGGUACUAGACCCUAGAAUUUAACCUCAUAUGUUGGCAGUAGACUAGAAAAGAUCUUCAGAUGAAGAGAGCAGAGUAAAAUGGAGAAAGCCAUACACUGGGAGUCAGAUGGCCUGGAUAGGAUUUUGUGCUGGCGCUCAUUAGUCAUGAAACUUGAGGCACUUACUAGCACCAGGCACUGUAGCAAGCAAUGGAGGUUAAAACAUGAAGAGACACUGUCCCAGCCCUCUCGGAGCUCACGUUCCAGCAGAUUAGCCCUGAACUAGCAUCCACUGCCAAGCCUCCUCUUUCUGCUGAGGAAGACUGGCCCUGAGCUAACAUCUGUGCCCAUCUUCCUCUAUUUUGUAUGUGGGACACCUGCCAUAGCAUGGCCUGAUGAGCAGUGUGUAGCUCUACACCUGGGAUCCGGAGCAGUGAACCCCAGGCUGCCAAAGCGGAGCGCGUGAACUUAACUGCUGUGCCACAGGGCUGCCUGUGUCAAUGACUUUCUUUUAGUAAACACAACUAGGAUUGAGGGCAGAAGGGCAGGGGAGAGAGGGAGAAAUGGAGGGGGGAGAGAGAGAGAGAUGCUUGAUUUUUUAAAAGAUGGUCCCUUGGACAAGAACAUUUGUCAAAGAAGGCCUGGAUGCUCUUGGGAAUUAGCUGACAUUCCAAAGUGUUCUCUUUUCCUGAUAGCUUUUGCACCCCUUAAGACGACACUGAGAGCGACCCUAGUCCCUCCACAGCCUUUGAAUGAAUGGGAGGCCCUGAUCUGUUUGGGUGAUUGGAUUUGUCUUGGCAGGUGGGGCUGGCUAUCAUCCACUUAAGCAGGACAGGUUCUCCAGGGUGCCAGGAAGCCUCCUCUUCAACAUGUUCUCUUGAUUUUUACUGACUCCUUUGACAGGGAGAAGCCUCUUGCUUACGAGCCACCCACUACGAGAGCACUUGCUGACGUUAAUGUGUAAAUGGCAUCCGUACCAGGCACUUUCCUGAGAAAACACUUUGAUAGAGCAGAGGACAGAGCAAGCAUGACGAUGCCCAGUUGUGGAAAACGGGAGAGGGUGUCUUCCGACCGAGGGAGGAUGGGGAGGCUCAGAGUAAGACGUAUUUCACCAGGAAGUCUCCCAAUCUGUGAAUUGAGCAUGCCUCACACGGAGAUGGGAGAAUGGUGGAAGCCUAACCUCCUGGAUGAGGCAGUUCCUUUUGGUCGAGCACUGACAGCAUCUACUACACCAACAAUCUUGGAGCGAAGAAGUGGGGAAAGGAGGAAGCUGCACAGAUGUUGAAACGACUACUACAGGAUGAGAUGUUAAACUGGAAAGAAAACUUACAGACCUACAGGAACACAAGGACAGUAACAUCUUUGUAUUCUCACAACCCAGAGAUGUAAAAUGUGUGUGUAAGAUGGAGAUAGAGCUUCUGCAUUUUCAAAAUGCUCAGAUGCCUGCAUGUGAAAGGCAGAGAGGAGAACCGGGACUCUCAGAGGAGAUGAAUUUUGACUCCAGACUGACUGGAACCAUCAGGAACUGGUGACUUGUGACCACAGCUCGUCCCGAGCAGACUCACUGCUGCCUCUGUGGUGAGCCUAUUUUCAAAGCCCCACAGUGGCCCCUUGUAAACUUUUCUCUUUUCCCUCAAGCCCUGACCCCUCCAGUCCACUUGAGCUCCCACUGUGUGGAGACAAAAGGCCACCUAUUCUGUAGCAUCCCCCUCAAAACACCUCUAUUUUCAGCCCUUCUUCCUCCCUAUUUUAAUGAGCAGGUUUUCUGGAUUUUUCCCGAGGUCAGUUUCCCUGCUUGUGUGCUUGGCCCCAUCCUUUCCACCCCCCCAGGACCUUACUCAUUUGGUGAAAAUACAACUUUUUAGAAAUAAAUAUGUAACGUUCUCUGCACUUAAUAUUUUAUGGUAAUUAGGCUUUUUAAUCCCAAUGUCUGCUAUGCUAGGCUGACAGGAUUUUUAUGUAAACUAGCUGAUUUAUAUAUAUGUAAGUCCUAUAUAUGUAUAUGAAAAUUACAUUGGUAUGUUUAGACUAGUACAGCAGUGAGGAUGACAGAGAGAAAAGCAGGCGUAUGAAAAUGCAGAACAAUAGAUUAAACUGUGAAGCCUUUGUAGGUGGACAGCCUGAGCAUGCUUUGCUAAUUGUUUUGAAUCCUCAAUACCCUGUAGUGCAGAAAGGGUGGGGCAAGGGGCCCAGAAUCACACAUGUAUCAUGCCUUAAAGGCAAGCUGCAGACAAAAGCUGUGUUGAUGCCAUUACUAGAACUCCUCCCUGCCAUGUCCCCUACCCCCACUGCUGGGCCCCCUAACUUGUUUAUUUCUAUUGAAGUAUAACAUACAUUAAAUAAUUUUCCCCUUUUAAAUGCACAGUUUGAUAAGUUUUAAAAUAUGCAUACUUCUAUGUGACCACCAGCACAAUCAAGAUACAGUUUUGAUUUCAUCACCCAAAAAGUCCUCUCUUGCUCCUUUGCAUUCAAGGUCUGCUCCUCCCAAUCCCAGGAAUCCAUCAGGUUGUUGUCUCUGAGCAUUAUGGACUGCGUGUUCAUGUCGCCCCAAUUAAUAUGUUGAAACCCUAACUCCCAACAGAGUGGUAUUAGGAGAUGGGGCUUUUGGGAGAUAAUUAGGUCAUGAGGAUGGGGCCCCCAUGAUGGAGAUUAGUGCCCUUAUAAGAAGAGGAAGACAGCUAGCUCUCUGCUGUCUCGGCCAUGUGAGGAUACAGCAAGAUGUCCUCUGCCAGCCAGGAAGAGAGCCCUCAGCAGAUAUUAGAUCUGCCCGUGCCUUGAUCUUGGACUUUCUAGCCUCCAGAACUGUGAGAAACAAAUGUUUACUGAUUAAGCCACCCAGUCUAUGGUAUUUUUUUGUUAUAGCAUCCCAAGCAGACUAAGACGCUUAGUAUAGACCAGUUUUGCCUGUUCUAGUAUAGAUUCACAAAUUAGUUUUGACUGUUUAUACAAAUGGUACAUUCGAUAUAAACUCUUUAUUGUCUGGAUUCUUUUCCUCAACCUAAUAUUUUAAAAAUUCUUCUAUGUUAUUACAUGUAUCAGUGUUUCUUCCUUUUUAUUUGUUAGUGGUAUUUUAUUGUAUAAAUACACCACAAUCUGUCACAUUUGGGUUGUUGCCAGUGUUUGGUUAUUAUGAAUAAAACUACUAUAACAUU
rnacentral:lncRNA from 1 species